rnacentral:rRNA from 1 species
CCGACAGGCGUAGUCGAUGGACAUCCGGUUGAUAUUCCGGAACCGGCGAAGAACCGCCCAUGACGAACCUUGUGAUGCUAAGUGCCUGAAACCGUCCCACCGAGACUUCGGUCUCAUCGGGGCGGCGGAGCGCACGACCCGAACUGGUAGUAGUCAAGCGAUGGAGUGACGCAGGAAGGUAGCCUCCGCGUGGCGAUGGUUGUCCACGUCCAAGGGUGUAGGGCGCGGUCCAGGCAAAUCCGGACCGCAUGAAGCCUGAGACCUGAUAGUGACCGCGAAUGCGGGAAGAGGGUGAUCCUAUGCUGCCGAGAAAAACUUCUAGCGAGGUUCGAGCCGCCCGUACCCCAAACCGA